UACGGGGGGGGCAAGCGUUGUUCGGAAUUACUGGGCGUAAAGGGCUCGUAGGUGGCCAACUAAGUCAGACGUGAAAUCCCUCAGCUUAACUGGGGAACUGCGUCUGAUACUGGAUGGCUUGAGUUUGGGAGAGGGAUGCGGAAUUCCAGGUGUAGCGGUGAAAUGCGUAGAUAUCAGGAGGAACACCAGUGGCGAAGGCGCCACUCUGGGCCGUAACUGACGCUGAGGAGCGAAAGCGUGGGUAGCAAACAGG
rnacentral:rRNA from 1 species